rnacentral:snRNA from 1 species
GGAUGCCAGGGAGACCUGGCUCUGGCUGAAGAGGUGAGUGUCCCCGCCCUCCCUCAUGGCUCUAUGUGUGUCCCUGCUGAAGCCAUGUGCUCGUCAAGGAGAGCAAGCUUCUCCAUAGAAGAAGACCAGGAUUUGGGCGAGCAUGUGAACAGCUGAGUUCCCUGAUGGAACCAUAAAACAAGAUCUCCAGGGAAGCCGGCCCUGUGGACAAGAGCAGCCACAGCCCUGGGCACCUCUCAAUACCCCCAGAUGGUCACUUCG